rnacentral:rRNA from 1 species
GAUGAACGCUGGCGGCGUGCCUAAUACAUGCAAGUCGAGCGAACAGACGAGGAGCUUGCUCCUCUGACGUUAGCGGCGGACGGGUGAGUAACACGUGGAUAACCUACCUAUAAGACUGGGAUAACUUCGGGAAACCGGAGCUAAUACCGGAUAAUAUAUUGAACCGCAUGGUUCAAUAGUGAAAGACGGUUUUGCUGUCACUUAUAGAUGGAUCCGCGCCGCAUUAGCUAGUUGGUAAGGUAACGGCUUACCAAGGCAACGAUGCGUAGCCGACCUGAGAGGGUGAUCGGCCACACUGGAAAUGAGACACGGUCCAGACUCCUACGGGAGGCAGCAGUAGGGAAUCUUCCGCAAAGGGCGAAAGCCUGACGGAGCAACGCCGCGUGAGUGAUGAAGGUCUUCGGAUCGUAAAACUCUGUUAUUAGGGAAGAACAAAUGUGUAAGUAACUAUGCACGUCUUGACGGUACCUAAUCAGAAAGCCACGGCUAACUACGUG